UACGGAGGGUGCGAGCGUUAAUCGGAAUUACUGGGCGUAAAGGGUUGGUAGGUGGUCUGUUAAGUUAUCUGAAAAAUCCCAGGGCUCAACCUGGGCAGGUAAUAUAAGACUGAUAGACUCGAGUAUAGGAGAGAGUAGUGGAAUUUACGGUGUAGCGGUGAAAUGCGUAGAGAUCUGAAGGAACACCGGUGGCGAAGGCGGCUUCCUGGCCUAAUACUGACUCUGAGGCACGAAAGCGUGGGGAGCAAACAGG
rnacentral:rRNA from 1 species